UGCUGGCCCCUCUGAGUGUCAGAAUCAUAACAAUUGCCAUCCUCACCAACCUCUAACGUUAUUGAUUUCAGCUACUGAACUGUCCAACUACUCAUCACUGAAUUUCAAAUGUUACAAUAACAGAUUAAAUUAAUGUGUAACUCAAUUAGCUUAUAUUUGCUGUAACAUCAAAUAGGUGGCUAUGACUAUUUUUCUAGAUCCCACAACAAUGUAAAGAAGACCAAUCUGGCACCAAGACAGAGGUGUAUUAUGAAAACCAUUUUCUUCCUUGGGAAUGGAACAUCACAGCCUUAAUUCAGAACAACCACGUGGAAUCAACUGUGCCUGUAAAUAGCACGGUGGUCCCAUUUCAGGCUGGGGUGGCAGCUGUGAAUAUACCUCAUCUAGGCUCCAUCUCAAUAGGAUCAUCUCCAGACUGUGUCCAGGAAGCUCUACCUCAUACCGACGGCUCUUCCUCACAGCAUUCACCUCAACACCAGAUUCUGCAAUGAUGCAGCCAUAACAUCAGGUAUGAAGAGCUCCAGGAGCCUUGGAAGAAGAGAUUAAGUGAAGGAAGUGGCUGCUUUUGAAACAAUUUCUGCUGCUAUUUUCUGUUGUUUUUAAGAUGUAUGUAUGUAUGUAUGUAUGUAUGUAUGUAUGUAUGUAUGUAUGUAUGUAUGUAUGUAUGUAUGUAUGUAUGUAUGUAGCUAGGCCAUGUAUGUUUUUGUAUUUAAAUAAAUAUAUGUUAUUACUUGUGC